AAUGAUUUUUUUUUUAAUUUUGCUAACUCAAAUUUAAAAAAAUACGAUUUUAAAAGUUUUAUAAUUACAAAAAUAUGGUUUCAGCAAGAAAAAAAAAAUUAAAAACAACUAAGAAUCAUCUAGAAAAUAAUUUGACAACAAUCCACUACAAAAACAACACAAAAAACAAUAUACACUAGAAAACAACUUGUCAGCAAUUCACUAUAUCAACCUAAAAUAAAUUUAAAAAAAUAACUAAAAUAACAUAGAACAAUACACAUUAGAACAAAUAAACAUCAACAUUAAUGUAGGAUCUUUUUUACUGAAAGUGAUUUGACCCUACACCAACUCAGAAGAUUACUUUAAAAUAUCAAGGUCAAAAUGACAUUUCCCAAAGACUAAAUACACUUACUGCUCAAUAAAGUGAAACGUUACACACAAAUCAAUAAUACCCUAUUAUUUAAUAUUGCCUUUUUUGUAUUCAGAUACUAUAUUAGAUCUUUUUUCUUUUUCUUCUUUCCUUAACACAAAAACAUUUUCUGAGAUUUAUGGUUAGGGAAAAAAACCAGAGAACAAUAUAUUCAGAGAAAAGAAAAACAAAUCAGAGAUGCAAGAUGAGAGUGGAGGGAAAAUGAAAAACAAACACAGUGAUUUAUCGAGGUUCGACCCAAAUCUGGAGUACUUCCUCGUUGAGCUCGCCUCAGGGAUGCAGCUCUGUUCUUCCACUAAUCAAUCAAAGGUUCUGUACAGCAAUGGAGGAUCCAAGUCAUAGAUUGACUGGUUCUCUCUUUCUCUCUCAAGAUCUGGAAACACACUAUUGGAACAGGAGCUUCUCUCUCUAAGAUCUAGCCUUAUCUUUUGGAUGAUAUGAUUUUCUGAAUCCCUUUCCUCUUAUUUAUAUAUAUUUCUGUAGAGAUGCAUAUCUGUGAGAAGUUUGUUGAGACUGUUGUGUUGAGCUGAGUUUCUGGUAAAAUAAACUUGCCUUGAUGUAAUUAUCUUGAUUUGAGUAACUAUGUUCUUGAUU